UGAAAUCAACUCCUCACAUUUUUAGGAGGAAUUUUGUGAAACCUGGUACAAGUCCUUGUUGUAGGUUGGUAAUACUCAUAUUAUGAAAUCAUUCGAGUCGGUCUCA